rnacentral:rRNA from 1 species
GAUGAACGCUGGCGGCGUGCCUAAUACAUGCAAGUCGAGCGAACGGACGAGAAGCUCGCUUCUCUGAUGUUAGCGGCGGACGGGUGAGUAACACGUGGAUAACCUACCUAUAAGACUGGGAUAACUUCGGGAAACCAGAGCUAAUACCGGAUAAUAUUUUGAACCGCAUGGUUCAAAAGUGAAAGACGGUCUUGCUGUCACUUAUAGAUGGAUCCGCGCUGCAUUAGCUAGUUGGUAAGGUAACGGCUUACCAAGGCAACGAUGCAUAGCCGACCUGAGAGGGUGAUCGGCCACACUGGAACUGAGACACGGUCCAGACUCCUACGGGAGGCAGCAGUAGGGAAUCUUCCGCAAUGGGCGAAAGCCUGACGGAGCAACGCCGCGUGAGUGAUGAAGGUCUUCGGAUCGUAAAACUCUGUUAUUAGGGAAGAACAUAUGUGUAAGUAACUGUGCACAUCUUGACGGUACCUAAUCAGAAAGCCACGGCUAACUACGUG